rnacentral:rRNA from 1 species
UUCUCCUACGGGGGGCAGCAGUGGGGAAUAUUGCACAAUGGGCGCAAGCCUGAUGCAGCCAUGCCGCGUGUAUGAAGAAGGCCUUCGGGUUGUAAAGUACUUUCAGCGGGGAGGAAGGGGGAAUGGUUAAUAACCAUUUUCAUUGACGUUACCCGCAGAAGAAGCACCGGCUAACUCCGUGCCAGCAGCCGCGGUAAUACGGAGGGUGCAAGCGUUAAUCGGAAUUACUGGGCGUAAAGCGCACGCAGGCGGUCUGUCAAGUCGGAUGUGAAAUCCCCGGGCUCAACCUGGGAACUGCAUUCGAA